rnacentral:rRNA from 1 species
GACGAACGCUGGCGGCGUGCCUAAUACAUGCAAGUCGAGCGGAUCUUUGGGGGCUUGCCCCCAAAGAUUAGCGGCGGACGGGUGAGUAACACGUGGGCAACCUGCCUAUAAGACUGGGAUAACUUCGGGAAACCGGAGCUAAUACCGGAUAAUUCAUAUCUACUCAUGUAGGUAUGCUGAAAGACGGUUUCGGCUGUCACUUAUAGAUGGGGCCCGCGGCGCAUUAGCUAGUUGGUGAGGUAACGGCUCACCAAGGCAACGAUGCGUAGCCGACCUGAGAGGGUGAUCGGCCACACUGGGACUGAGACACGGCCCAGACACCUACGGGUGGCUG